UACGUAGGGGGCAAGCGUUGUCCGGAUUUAUUGGGCGUAAAGAGCGUGUAGGCGGCCAGGUAGGUCCGCUGUGAAAACUCGAGGCUCAACCUCGAGAUGUCGGCGGAAACCAUCUGGCUAGAGUCCGGAAGAGGAGAGUGGAAUUCCUGGUGUAGCGGUGAAAUGCGCAGAUAUCAGGAAGAACACCCGUGGCGAAAGCGGCUCUCUGGGACGGUACUGACGCUGAGACGCGAAAGCGUGGGGAGCGAACAGG
rnacentral:rRNA from 1 species